UGGGAACGUACCUCUUGGUUCGGAACAACACAGGGAAACUUGUGCUAAUACCGAAUAAGCCCUUCGGGGGAAAGAUUUAUCGCCAUUGGAUGGGCCCGCGUCGGAUUAGCUAGUUGGUGGGGUAACGGCCCACCAAGGCGACGAUCCGUAGCUGGUCUGAGAGGAUGAUCAGCCACACUGGGACUGAGACACGGCCCAGACUCCUACGGGAGGCAG
rnacentral:rRNA from 1 species